UACGGGAGGCAGCAGUGGGGAAUAUUGCACAAUGGGCGCAAGCCUGAUGCAGCCAUGCCGCGUGUAUGAAGAAGGCCUUCGGGUUGUAAAGUACUUUCAGUCGUGAGGAAGGUGUUAAGGUUAAUAACCUUAGCAAUUGACGUUAGCGACAGAAGAAGCACCGGCUAACUCCGUGCCAGCAGCCGCGGUAAUACGGAGGGUGCGAGCGUUAAUCGGAAUUACUGGGCGUAAAGGGCACGCAGGCGGUUAAUUAAGUUGGAUGUGAAAUCCCCGGGCUUAACCUGGGAAUGGCAUUCAAGACUGGUUAGCUAGAGUCUUGUAGAGGGGGUAGAAUUCCAUGUGUAGCGGUGAAAUGCGUAGAGAUGUGGAGGAAUACCGGUGGCGAAGGCGGCCCCUGGGACAAAGACUGACGCUCAUGUGCGAAAGCGUGGGGAGCGAAACAGGGAUUAGAUA
rnacentral:rRNA from 1 species